rnacentral:snRNA from 1 species
GUGCUCACUUCAGCAGCACGUAUACUAAAAUUGGAAUGAUACAGAGAAGAUUAGCAUGGCCCCUGCACAAAGAUGACACGCAAAUUCGUGAAGCGUUCCAUUUUUUU